GGUGAGAGUGGCGAACGGGUGAGUAAUGCGUGACCAACCUGCCCCAUGCUCCAGAAUAGCUCUUGGAAACGGGUGGUAAUGCUGGAUGCUCCAACUUGACGCAUGUCUUGUUGGGAAAGUGUUUAGUGGCAUGGGAUGGGGUCGCGUCCUAUCAGCUUGUAGGCGGGGUAAUGGCCCACCUAGGCUUCGACGGGUAGCCGGCCUGAGAGGGCGGACGGCCACAUUGGGACUGAGAUACGGCCCAGACUCCUACGGGAGGCAGCAGUGGGGAAUAUUGCGCAAUGGGGGGAACCCUGACGCAGCGACGCCGCGUGCGGGAUGAAGGCCUUCGGGUUGUAAACCGCUUUUGAUUGGGAGCAAGCCUUUUGGGUGAGUGUACCUUUCGAAUAAGCGCCGGCUAACUACGUGCCAGCAGCCGCGGUAAUACGUAGGGCGCAAGCGUUAUCCGGAAUUAUUGGGCGUAAAGAGCUUGUAGGCGGUUCGUCGCGUCUGGUGUGAAAGCCCAUCGCUUAACGGUGGGUUUGCGCCGGGUACGGGCGGGCUAGAGUGCAGUAGGGGAGACUGGAAUUCUCGGUGUAACGGUGGAAUGUGUAGAUAUCGGGAAGAACACCAAUGGCGAAGGCAGGUCUCUGGGCUGUUACUGACGCUGAGAAG
rnacentral:rRNA from 1 species